GUAUGUAUAUAUAUGUAUGUAUAUAUAUGUAUGUAUAUACAGAUAUAUAUAUAUAUGAAUUGAAAUAAUAAGGUUAAGGUUUUGAUAAUUAUAUUUCAUUUUGGAGAUGUACUUGCCUGAUAUGUAGUUUGAUCGGAAAAAAAACCAUGUUUUGAAACUAAAGCAAUUUCAGCAUGAAAGACAUACAUUAGCCACUCAGAAACAAUAAAAAAAACUGUUAACUUCUCUUUAAACAUUUAUUAUUUGGUGUCAGAAUUUUCAUCGCACCAAAUGUGAUCUGGUCACUGAAACUGAUUUUGAUUGGUUAAACCGUGUCAUCCAUGCUCUAAUUGUAUAUUAUAUAUAUAUAUUUCAUUUAUUGCAAAAAGAAAAACCAAAAAAAAAAAAUAAUAAAUAAAAUAAAAAAGACGUUGCAAAUUCAUUAUUUUUCUCUAGAGUUUAAAUUAUUUAUAUUUCUAGGUUAAAAUAUAAAAGUACUUUUUUUUUUCUUUUCAUUUUUUAAUGUUAAUUCAUUCAUUUAUUUCAUUUUAUUUUAACCAAUGCCCAAAGAGUGUGCCCCGAUAUAUUUUUUAUUUGCUCCAAAUUGUGCCGUGAGCGAAAACAAAGAGAAACAGUUUGAGAACCACUACAACAACAUUCAACAAUACAACAACAACAACAACAACACCUAACAAGGAAACAAAUUUUACUCUGAGAAUUCAGCAUCUUUCCUCUUUUAACUCAUUCUUCACACUUGCACUCACCUUCACACUCAGCAUAGCCACCUCUGCUUGUGAUCAAUAUCUUACUUUCUUUUAUUAUUAUUAUUAUUAUGAUUAUGAAGGUAGCGAGCUGGCAGAAUCGUUAGUACGCCGGGUGAAAUGCUUAGCAGUAUUUCGCUCGUCGCUACAUUCUGAGUUCAAAUUCCACCGAGGUCAACUUUGCUUUUCAUCCUUUCGGGGUCGAUAAAUUAAGUACCAGUUGAGUACUGGAGUCAGUGUGAUUGACUGUCCCCCCUCCCCACAAAAUCUAGGCCAUGUGCCUAAAGUAGAAAGGAUUAUUAUUGUUAUGAUGAUGAUGAAGACGGCAAGCUGGCAGAAUCAUUAGCACACUGGGCAAAAUGCUGCUACAUUCUGAGUUCAAAUUCCACCAAGGUCAACUUUGCUUUUCAUCCUUUCAGAGUCGAUAAAUUAAGUACCAGUUGAGUACUGAGGUCGAUGUGAUUGACUGUCCCCCUCCCCACAAAAUCUAGGCCGUGUGCCUAGAGUAGAAAGGAUUAUUAUUAUUAUUAUUAUUAUUAUUAUUAUUAUUAAGGCAGCAAGUUGGCAGAAUCAUUAACAUGCCAAGUAAAAUGCUUAGUGAUAUUUUGCCUGCCGUACCAUUCUGAGUUCAAAUUCUGCCAAGGUCGACUUUGCCUUUUAUCCUUUUGGGGUCGUUAAAAUAAGUACCAGUUGAUCACUGGGGUCAAUGUAAUCAACUCAUCCCCUCACUCGAAAUUGCUGCCCUUGUGGCAAAAUUUGAAAGCAUUAUUAUUAUUAUUAUUAUUUAUGGUUUCCUUUCAUUAUAACUUUAUUUCAGCUGCCUUCGUACCUAUCUGGGCAUUAUUUUUUCUUUUCUUUUUUAGUUUUUUUCUUUCUUCCCCCUGUUUUUUUUCCUAUCACAUGACUGGUGUUCAUUUUAAUGGCCUACCAAUGUAUACAGUGAGUUUCUUUGCCCUAGGUGUCGGGAAGACACUCAGAGAAAUGGAAACAAAACUGAAAGAAGAGGAUAAUAAUGAUAAUAAUAUCAAUUUGUUUUGCAAGAUUCCUGAUGUGAAAUCGUGUUUGUAAUUGAUGUUGUUGUAUUUUGCGAUGGUCAUUUUUUUUUUUUUUUUUUUGCCAAAUAAAUACGGCGGUGCCCCAGCAUGGCCACAGCUCAUUAGCUGAAACUGGAAAAAUCAAAAUCAAAUCAAUGCACUAGGGUGUGUUUUUAUUUGGUAAAAAAAAAAAUUAAAAAAAUAAAAAUAAUAAUAAUAAAUAAAAUAACCAUCUCGAAAUACAACAGCAAUAAUAAUAAUAAUAAUAAUAAUAAUAAUAACUGAUUUUCUUCAUAAAUAUCAAAAUAUAUUAAAAGAGGCAAAGUACUAAUCAGAAAUUUGUGCUUUAAAAAAGAUGGUGCCGAUUGGGAGCAGGUAAGAAGAAAAAAAAGAAAAAAGUAAAAAUGAGAAAGAAUGUAAAGGAAUCUGCUCCCCCCCCACACACACACACUUCACCCUACGCAUAACGAUUACUUAUCAUACUCACUCGCACCUGCGGUGGGGGAGCAAUGGCUGUUUUUUUUAUUCUGUGUCGAUACUUAUGACCUGUAUGGCAUUGAUGGAUCACUUUGAUAAAAAAAAAAAAACGUUUGGAACAGAAUUAUUUUUGUAAAUAUCUUCAGUGUGACUGGGUAUGUGUUUUUUUUGUGUGUGUGUGUGUGUGUAUUUUGUGUAUGUAUGCAUUUGGCCAUAUAUAUAUGUGUG
rnacentral:lncRNA from 1 species